GUCCUCACCAGCCUGUGCGGGGUGCAGGGGCCAGUGGGAGAAGGACAGCAGGAGCCAGGCAGGUCAUCGGCACAAGAGCAAAUGCAGAUGCAAGGUCGGCCUGCUCAGCCACUGGCUCUGAGGCACAACAGCGGAUGUCUGCACUGUGACGUCAGCUAAGUACGAGAACUGCCGGUUGCGGCUUAUAAACAAGAUGAUACCCUUGCGGUAGGCCACAUGGGCGGUGAAGUUCAAGGCCAGCUGGAGGUGCGUGGCUGUCUGUUCCAGGUCGAUGAUGUCCUGGUCCAGGCGGCUCCCAAAGAUAUAUGGCUCCAUAAACCUGCCAGAGACCCCACCAGGGCAAGGGGGAUGAGAGUUCACCGGGCCAACUCCACUGGCCCCUUGCAAGAACACAGACGCCCACCAGGGACUCCCGAGCUCCUCUUCGGGGCACUAUGGGCUGGGAAGCACAGUUUGCAACGCUCCCCGUGUGGACAGACAGCAGUGCAGACCUGUCCAGGCCACCCCUCUGCACGCCUCGUCUCAUGGCUUAACCCCUCCGACCCUCUACCUCUUCCCGAGGGAAUCCUAAUAGAACUGACCCCAUA